AUUUGAAAUAAUAGUUAUUGGUUAUAAAUAUUUACAAAAAAUCGAAAAAGAUUUGUUCAAUUUAUUAUAUUUAAUCAAAAAAUAAAAAAACUUGAAACUCUGAAAAUAUUAUGAAAAUAAAUUAUACAAAAUACCAAAAGCAACCUUUGCUUUUUAUGUCAAAACAAAUGUCAAUAAUUUUCAAAUAAAAAUAAAUAAACAAACUGAGAAGACGUUUUUCAAACCAAAUAAUUAUUAAAGAAAAUUAUAUAAUUCAAAUAAAGGCUGAGAAUUGUUCAAAAAUUAAUAAUAAUCUGAGAGGACGUAUUGAAUACAUUCAAAUAAAAAUAAAGAAGAAUAUAAUUCAAAUAAAGGCUAUUAAACAAGAAACAAAAAGCAAGUCAAAUUAAAUCAAAUGCAACAAAUUCAAAUGAACACCAACACGAUGAAAGAAGCCAGCCAACAAGAUAAAAAUAAUUCCAACUUUGCAGAAGCCAGCGAUUCUGAAAUAUUGUUAGAUUCAAAUCAACUUGAUUCGAACAAUUCAAACUGUGAAAAUAAAAAAGCAGAAGUUGGUUUCUUCCCAAAAUAUUAGAGAAACGCAAUAACCUUAUGGGGAAUCUCAAUAUAUGGACGUUUCUGUAUGUUGAUGUUAAUCAAAUCAUUGAAGUGCGAUCAAAACUGUUUAUGUUGCCGUUUCUAAUAGCAUGCAACAUACUAUAUGGUUUUAUUUACAUUUUGCGGCUUUCGAUACAAUUAGUAUUGACUUCUGUAGCCGAUGAAACUUUCAAAAUCAUAAUGAUAAUAUAAUAAUUUAUAAAAUUUUGUUCAUCUUCGGAUAUGUUUAAAAAUGUUUAUUAAAUUUACUGUUUUUAAUUUGUUAUAUUUGCUUAUGUAUUGUA